UACGAAGGGGGCUAGCGUUGCUCGGAAUCACUGGGCGUAAAGCGCACGUAGGCGGGUCGUUAAGUCAGGUGUGAAAUCUCGGGGCUCAACCUCGAAACUGCACUUGAUACUGUGGUGCUGGAGUACUGGAGAGGAGAUUGGAAUUUACGGUGUAGCAGUGAAAUGCGUAGAUAUCGUAAGGAAGACCAGUGGCGAAGGCGAAUCUCUGGACAGUUACUGACACUGAGGCACGAAGGCCAGGGGAGCAAACGGG
rnacentral:rRNA from 1 species